CCUACGGGAGGCAGCAGUUAGGAAUAUUGGUCAAUGGCCGGAAGGCUGAACCAGCCAUGCCGCGUGAAGGUCAGUGCCCUAUGGGCGUUAAACUUCUUUUGUGCGGGAGCAAUAAUGGUCACGUGUGGCCAGACGAGAGUACCGUACGAAUAAGCAUCGGCUAACUCCGUGCCAGCAGCCGCGGUAAUACGGGGGAUGCAAGCGUUAUCCGGAUUUAUUGGGUUUAAAGGGGGCGUAGGCUGUGAGGUAAGUCAGCGGUGAAAUGCCCCCGCUCAACGGGGUGAAGGGCCAUUGAUACUGCCUGGCUGGAAUGCGGAUGCCGUGGGAGGAAUGUGUGGUGUAGCGGUGAAAUGCAUAGAUAUCACACAGAACACCGAUUGCGAAGGCAUCUCACGAAGCCGCGAUUGACGCUGAUGCACGAAAGCGUGGGUAUCAAACAGGAUUAGAUACCCCGGUAGUC
rnacentral:rRNA from 1 species